rnacentral:pre_miRNA from 1 species
GUAGUAUUCCCUUCGUCCCAAAAUUCUUGUCUUACAUUUGUUUAGAUACAGAUGUAUCUAACACUAAAAUGUAACUAGAUACAUCCGUAUUUAGACAAAUUUAAGACAAGAAUUUAGGGACGGAGGGAGUACAAA